GGCUCAGAGGUUCAAGCCUCGUAGUGUCCUAGGUUAGGUAGGAAGCACUUAUCAGUCAUUCUUGAUGGAUGUAAUUUUGGGUGAGUGGUUCAGAGGUUCAAGCCUCGAUCGUAGUGUCCUAGGUAGGAAGCACCUAUCAGUCAUUCUUGAUGGAUGUGAUUUUGGGUGAGUGGCUCAGAGGUUCAAGCCUCGUAGUGAGUGUCCUAGGGAGGAAGCACCUAUCGGUCAUUUUUGAUGGAUGUGAUUUUGGGAUCUCUGGUGGAUCCUGUGGUUGUGUGGUCAGUGGUAGAUUGGGGAAGGGGGAGACACGUGCUCACAAAUGAUUCAUAGAAUGUAGCACAUUUCUGUUGACAGGGGAGGAGAGGGAGGGGAGGGGGAAGCACAUGUCCUCUGUUAUUCCAUAGAUCUGCCACUGGUGACUGUGUGUGUGUGUGUGUGGUUGUGUUUGUCUUUUGGAUGCGUUUUUCUUUUGGGUGCGUGAGUGAGAGACAAAGAAUACCUUGCUUUGAACAUUUGAAAUUGCUUUUACAAAUUCAGAAUCAUGAAAAAAUUCCAUAUGAAAUGCUACCAA